rnacentral:misc_RNA from 1 species
UCUAAAGCCAAGUAAUGUUCUUUUGGACAAGGAGAUGGUUGCCCACAUUGGAGAUUUUGGCUUGGCUGAGAUUGUCUCGACAAUUUCGGAUGAGGCUGUUCAGUAUCCAAGCACUUCUCUAGCAAUCAAGGGAUCUAUUGGCUAUGUUGCUCCUGAAUGUGGCAUGGGUGAAAAGGUUUCUAUUGAAAGAGAUGUGUACAGUUAUGGGAUUCUAUUAUUGGAAAUGUUUACAGGAAAGAAACCAACUGAUGAUUCUUUUAAAGAUGGUCUAAAUCUGCAUACCAGCGUCCUGAAAUCAUUUCCUGAUAGAGUUAUGGAAUGUGUGGAUCCAAGCAUUUUAUAUGAAGAUGAAAAAGGGAGAAGCAUCAGGGAGCCCUGUUUAAUCUCUAUAUUGAGAAUUGGAGUUGCAUGCUCAAUGGAACUGCCAGCAGAAAGAAUGAAAAUGAGAGAUGU